rnacentral:misc_RNA from 1 species
AAAAGGUUGAGGAUUUCAAGGUAAUAUAUCAGUUGUAAUUCAUAGCCAUGCAGUGAUUCAUCUGCAGCAUGGUAAUUUUUGUCAUGGAAGAUUACGCAUCAUCAUGCUUGAGUUUCAAUACAUCCAUGGUAGUAGACUUAUUAUAUCUUUUGUUGGCGUAAAUGUGUUGUCCUAUAUGAGCAGGUUGGGGAUUGGGUGAGAGUG